rnacentral:rRNA from 1 species
UACGUAGGCAGCAAGCGUUGUUCGGAAUUACUGGGCGUAAAGAGUGUGUAGGCGGUGUUCUAAGUCUGUUGUGAAAUCUCCCGGCUUAACUGGGAGGGUGCGGCGGAAACUGGAAUGCUAGAGGAUGGGAGAGGUAAGCGGAAUUCCUGGUGUAGCGGUGAAAUGCGUAGAUAUCAGGAGGAACACCGGCGGCGAAGGCGGGUCUCUGGGCCAUAACUGACGCUGAGGAGCGAAAGCGUGGGGAGCGAACAGG